GUGAUUUGGAGGGCAAGUCUGGUGCCAGCAGCCGCGGUAAUUCCAGCUCCAAUAGCGUAUAUUAAAGUUGUUGCAGUUAAAAAGCUCGUAGUUGAAUUUCGGGGUUAGUAGGUUGGUCAUGCCUCUGGUAUGUACUGGUCUCACUGAUUCCUCCUUCCUUAUGAACCGUAAUGCCAUUAAUUUGGUGUUGCGGGGAAUUUGGACUGUUACUUUGAAAAAAUUAGAGUGUUUAAAGCAAGCUAACGCUUGAAUACAUUAGCAUGGAAUAAUGAAAUAGGACGUUCGAUCUUAUUUUGUUGGUUUCUAGGAUUGACGUAAUGAUUAAUAGGGAUAGUUGGGGGCAUUAGUAUUCAAUUGUCAGAGGUGAAAUUCUUGGAUUUAUUGAAGACUAACUACUGCGAAAGCAUUUGCCAAGGAUGUUUUCAUUAAUCAAGAACGAAAGUUAGGGGAUCGAAGACGAUCAGAUACCGUCGUAGUCUUAACCAUAAACUAUGCCGACUAGGGAUCGGAUGAUGUUAAUUUUUUAAUGACUCAUUCGGCGCCUUACGGGAAACAAUCGAAUUCCCG
rnacentral:rRNA from 1 species